GAGGAAUAUUGCGCAAUGGGGGCAACCCUGACGCAGCGACGCCGCGUGAGUGAGGAAGGCCUUCGGGUCGUAAAGCUCUGUCAGAAGGGAAGAAGUGCACGGUGGCUAAUAUCCGCCGUGUUUGACGGUACCUUCAAAGGAAGCACCGGCUAACUCCGUGCCAGCAGCCGCGGUAAUACGGAGGGUGCAAGCGUUGUUCGGAAUCACUGGGCGUAAAGGGCGCGCAGGCGGCUUGGUAAGUCAGAUGUGAAAGCCCACGGCUUAACCGUGGAAGUGCAUUUGAAACUGCCUGGCUUGAGUACCAGAGGGGAAGGUGGAAUUCCCGGUGUAGAGGUGAAAUUCGUAGAUAUCGGGAGGAAUACCGGUGGCGAAGGCGACUUUCUGGCUGAGUACUGACGCUGAGGCGCGAAAGCGUGGGGAGCAAAC
rnacentral:rRNA from 1 species